rnacentral:rRNA from 1 species
AUUGAACGCUGGCGGCAGGCCUAACACAUGCAAGUCGAACGAGUGGCGGACGGGUGAGUAAUGUCUGGGAAACUGCCCGAUGGAGGGGGAUAACUACUGGAAACGGUAGCUAAUACCGCAUACCAUCGGAUGUGCCCAGAUGGGAUUAGCUAGUAGGUGGGGUAACGGCUCACCUAGGCGACGAUCCCUAGCUGGUCUUGGAGGAUGACCAGCCCAUCUGGGACGGAGACCAGGUCCAUACGCCUACGGGAGGCAGCAGUGGGGAAUAGUUGAAAAUGGGCGCAAGCCUGAUGCAGCCAUGCCGCGUGGAUGAAGAAGGCCUUCGGGUUGUAAAGUACUUUCAGCGAGGAGGCGUUACUCGCAGAAGAAGCACCGGCUAACUCCGUGCCAGCAGCCGCGGUAAUAC